rnacentral:rRNA from 1 species
AUUGAACGCUGGCGGCAUGCCUUACACAUGCAAGUCGAACGGUAACAGGUCUUCGGAUGCUGACGAGUGGCGAACGGGUGAGUAAUAUAUCGGAACGUGCCCAGUAGUGGGGGAUAACUGCUCGAAAGAGCAGCUAAUACCGCAUACGACCUGAGGGUGAAAGGGGGGAUCGCAAGACCUCUCGCUAUUGGAGCGGCCGAUAUCAGAUUAGCUAGUUGGUGGGGUAAAGGCCUACCAAGGCAACGAUCUGUAGUUGGUCUGAGAGGACGACCGGCCAAACUGGGACUGAGACACGGCCCAGACUCCUACGGGAGGCAGCAGUGGGGAAUUUUGGACAAUGGGCGCAAGCCUGAUCCAGCAAUGCCGUGUGCAGGAAGAAGGCCUUCGGGUUGUAAACUGCUUUUGUACGGAACGAAAAGCCCUGGGUUAAUACCCUGGGGUCAUGACGGUACCGUAAGAAUAAGCACCGGCUAACUACGUGCCAGCCGCCGCCGUAA